AUGCAACCCAAAAUAGCCCCGGCACAAAGCACUCCAGGAACCCCCCUCUUCCUUUCCUUCCAUGUCCCCUUCAUCCGGCACUGUGACACGGAGGGGUUAGACUGGAAUGAAAAGAGCUUCCAGACCUCUGAAGUUUUGAAAAGCUGGGUCUUGGUCCUACAGACAUUUAAGAAGUUGUGCACAAGGUCAGAACAAAAGUCCAUUUAACACUGUAUUUACCUCCAAGAAUGACAGUAAGAUACGCAGAACCAAGACCAACAAGGGAAAAAGAACGGUUUUAGAGAAAAUACUUUCCAGAGGUUUGUGGCUGGGGAACUAGAAGCAAUACCUAUGUGAGUAAUGCUGUCUUGCUUCAACUGGUAUGGGACCAAGGUUCAAAGACAAGUUUAGGUCCUUUGCUCCUGCUGCAAAAUUCAAGUCAUGGGUAGCAACUUUGGUGGGGUUACCCUUAAAUUCAGGUUAUGCACAGUGAAACAUUUAUAGACAUUCUUGGUGUCUAAAUGCGUUAAUAAUUUGUUAAUAUAAUGUGUUAAUAAAUGUGUUAAUAAUUCAGCA
rnacentral:lncRNA from 1 species